rnacentral:rRNA from 1 species
GAUGAACGCUGGCGGCGUGCUUAACACAUGCAAGUCGAACGAUGAACCUCACUUGUGGGGGGAUUAGUGGCGAACGGGUGAGUAACACGUGAGUAACCUGCCCUUGACUCUGGGAUAAGCCUGGGAAACUGGGUCUAAUACCGGAUAUGACUCCUCAUCGCAUGGUGGGGGGUGGAAAGCUUUUUGUGGUUUUGGAUGGA